UACGUAGGGCGCAAGCGUUAUCCGGAAUUAUUGGGCGUAAAGGGUAGGUAGGUGGUCUCAUUUGUCUGGGGUGAAAGCCUUGAGCUUAACUCAAGAAGUGCCUCAGAAACGGUGAGACUAGAGUCCUAGAGAGGGUCGUGGAAUUCCCGGUGUAGCGGUGAAAUGCGUAGAGAUCGGGAGGAACACCAGAGGCGAAGGCGGCGACCUGGAUAGGUACUGACACUCAACUACGAAAGCGUGGGGAGCAAACAGG
rnacentral:rRNA from 1 species